UACGAAGGGGGCUAGCGUUGUUCGGAAUUACUGGGCGUAAAGCGUAUGCAGGCGGAUCAUUAAGUCGGGGGUGAAAUCCCGAGGCUCAACCUCGGAACUGCCUUCGAUACUGAUGAUCUUGAGUCCGGGAGAGGUGAGUGGAACUGCGAGUGUAGAGGUGAAAUUCGUAGAUAUUCGCAAGAACACCAGUGGCGAAGGCGCUCACUGGCCCGGUGACUGACGCUGAGGCACGAAGGCCAGGGGAGCAAACGGG
rnacentral:rRNA from 1 species